rnacentral:rRNA from 1 species
AACGAACGCUGGCGGCAUGCCUAACACAUGCAAGUCGAACGAGACCUUCGGGUCUAGUGGCGCACGGGUGCGUAACGCGUGGGAACCUGCCCUUAGGUUCGGAAUAACUCCCCGAAAGGGGUGCUAAUACCGGAUAAUGUCUUCGGACCAAAGAUUUAUCGCCUUUGGAUGGGCCCUCGUUGGAUUAGCUAGUUGGUAGGGUAAAAGCCUACCAAGGCGACGAUCCAUAGCUGGGUUGAGAGGAUGAUCAGCCACACCGGGACUGAGACACGGCCCAGACUCCUACGGGAGGCGGCAGUGGGGAAUAUUGGACAAUGGGCGAAAGCCUGAUCCAGCAAUGCCGCGUGAGUGAUGUAGGCCUUAGAGUUGUAAAGCUCUUUUACCCGGGAUGAUAAUGACAGUACCGGGAGAAUAAGCUCCGGCUAACUCCGUG